rnacentral:rRNA from 1 species
UACGAAGGGGGCUAGCGUUGCUCGGAAUGACUGGGCGUAAAGGGCGCGUAGGCGGCUUACAUAGUCAGGCGUGAAAUUCCUGGGCUCAACCUGGGGGCUGCGUUUGAUACGUGUAGGCUUGAGUUCGGAAGAGGGUCGUGGAAUUCCCAGUGUAGAGGUGAAAUUCGUAGAUAUCCGGAGGAACACCGGUGGCGAAGGCGGCUUCCUGGACCGACACUGACGCUGAGGCGCGAAAGCUAGGGGAGCAAACGGG